CUAUUUGCAAGGAGGCACCUUGAUCAGGAAGUACACCACUAAAUAGAUUAGUUGAAAGAUAUUUUAAUAUUCUUGUUUGAAUUUCUCUGCCCAUUUUAUUCUUUUGGUUAUCUUUCUUACUAUUGAUGCAAGAUUUGGAACCACCAUAUAUAUCAAUUACUUAUGAUGUAUUUAUCUCUUCAUAAAGGUCGUCCCUAUAAGUAAGUUUUUUCUUGCAGAUUGUCUUUUUUCUUUACUUGAUGCGAAAGAGCAAAGAAUCAUCUAUCAUCAACCAUCUUUAAAAGAGAUUAUUCUUCUUACUCAAUCAACUUGUUAAUUUUUCAUCUAUAGUCAUGGUGAACUAAAAAUAACAUCAUAUCUUA
rnacentral:lncRNA from 1 species